CGAAAAAUAGAAAAUGGUUGAAAAGGUCAUACUGGUGAUUUUGGCUAUAUUUAUUCCACCCCUGGCGGUGUAUCUCCUGAAAGGUUGCAAUCAGGAGUUUUGGAUUGAUCUACUUCUGACGAUUUUUUUGUUUUUUCCAGGGCUUUUAUAUGCUUUGUACCUGAUAUUAAAAUGAAUGUCCAGGAAAGAUGACAUGAAAUCGGACAACUAGAAUCCGAUACUAAUGUCUUGUUUAAAUAAUAUUUUAUUUGUUGGCGCUAUUGGCUCCUGGCAUCGAACUCGUUCUGGUGCACGGAAGAUAACGGGAAGCACACACCGGACCAGCUGGAUUUUUGUACUGUACGGUAACUGCAUGCUGAGGAAAAUUGCAGCGCGAUUGUUUGUUGCUUAUGCAAAUGGUUUGGUUUGUUGAAUAAAUGAUAGAGCAUUUGCCUCAUUCUGCUGAUUGUGAAUUACAUUCUGGACGAUUAUUUUCUAAAUUUACUGUUUAAGAUACAUACGUGUACAGCACGUGCGUACAGAGUCUGUACAUACUGUACCUGCAAGUUUAUUUGCGCAUAUAGUCACCAAACAUGUUGAAAAAUUGGUUAUGUUGUAAGUU